UUUCCGUAGGUGAACCUGCGGAAGGAUCAUUAUUGGAUUUUGAAACUUCAGGCUGCUGCUGGCUCUCCUCGGAGGGCAUGUGCACGCUUGUUGUCCAUUAUUUCUCCCACUGUGCACAAAUUGUAGACCUUUCAGUAGGCCUAUGUUGUUUUUCACAAUCUCUGAAUGUAAUAGAAUGGUUUUGAAUCUUGGGAAACACAAUACAACUUUCAGCAACGGAUCUCUUGGCUCUC
rnacentral:misc_RNA from 1 species